UUGUAGUAGUUGUAAAAGGAUGAUUUUGAUAAAUUUAAUGGUUAGUUAACAAAUCCUUCAAAUUCCUUAAUCCAAAUCCUUUUGAAAUCCAAUUCCCAUCAAAUCUGUGAUUCCAAACACUGCGUAAAAGCACUCCACUUCUUCAAUAAGAUGAAACCCUAAUCUGAUGCCGUCGCUCCCUAUCUCUCUUACAACCAUCUAGAACGAUUACACCUCAUGUUCCUCACCCCUUAUGCCCCGCACACAGCCAACUCGGGUAUUGAUAGCAAGCGAGCAGAGUGGCUUCAUUGACGACGAUCUGGUGGGAGACGGCGGCAAUCUCGGUGGAAACAAGAUCCAUCUGGGCUUUGUCACUUUGCCGAUCAGGUUGUUGUUGUUGGUGACCGACUGAUUUACAAAUUGUGAUACAAGUGCAAUCUCUAAUUUCGUGAUUUGUAUUUUGGCCUAUCAUCUUGCCCAUUCUCUUUGAAAAGCCCUGCGACUUGCCCUAGCCCCAAAUCCUCCUGACACCGAGCCACCACAAGAGAUUUCUCACCAAAGGUUGCGAUUUCUCACCGGCAUGUGUUACCAGCAACUCCACCAGUGAAAUUGCCAGUCAGGCCCGUGGGUUUGUGAAGCUUUGAACAAUAAUACAAUGGUGGUGACCUCGGGAUCAUUCAACAAGGAGAUGGCCAUCCGAAGGAAGAUUGCCAGCAUAUUUAAUAAAAGAGAGGAUGAUUUUCCAUCGCUGAGAGAAUACAAUGAUUACUUGGAGGAAGUGGAAGACAUGACAUUCAACUUGAUCGAAGGAAUAGAUGUUCCUGCUAUUGAAGCGAAAAUUGAGCAGUACAGGAAAGAAAAUGCUGAACAAAUAACGAAUGCUCUAGCUCGUAAGGCUGAAGAAUAUGCAGCAGCAUUGGCAGCAAGCAAGGGACUGCCUGCACAUAUUGAUAGUGAUGUGAGCACAAGCCAGAGCUCUCAAGGUGGCGUUGGUGCUGGUUUCCAGGGACCUUAUGCACCUGCAAUUGCUGGAGUUGCACAGCCACGCCCCACAAGCAUGGCCUCACAACCUGUCCCGAUUGGACCUGGGAUUGGCAUGCAAGGGCAUGCUUUUGAUGAUGAAGAAAUGAUGAGACUCCGAGCAGAGAGAGGUGGAAAGGCAGGAGGUUGGAGUCUAGAAUUUAGCAAGAAACGGGCCCUUGAAGAAGCCUUCGGAAGCAUUUGGAUUUGAUUUUUAGUAUACAGCUUGCUUUGCUGUGCAAUUUGCUCAUUCAUGUGAGGCAGAACAGGUGCAAACAGAGUAGAUGACGUGAGUCGAUGUCAGAGGUGGUGAUGCGAAGUGUUGCGACGCUACCAAGAUGACGCAAUGUGAGUUCAGGCAAAGUUCAGUGAUUGCCAUGAAUUCGAAGUAGCCGACGCGAUGAAUUAGGAGUACAACAGUCAGUCAAAAUUGCAGAAAUCGUGCAACUGUGAUUUGGGGAAUUUCAGAAAUUGUACGAUUGCUAUUUAGGGCAAAUUUGUUGAAUUUUCUUAGGCUGUCUCGUGAUCACAUCAUUUCUUUUUAUAUAUAGAGAUUGAGUUAUGAACUAAAUUAUAUAGAGAGAGAAAUAGCUCUGUUCGGUA